CUUGAGACACAUUUUGCCUAAGUAUUUUUGCUGUUGUUUAAUAAUCUUUCAGUGAUAUCCAAUUCUCCCUGAUCAAUUUUGGGUUUUUUGUAGAAGAGAUACUGGAGUGGUUUCCAAUUUCUUUCUCCAAAAGAUUUUAGAUAUGAAAGAACUUGAGUCCAACAUGAUUAAGUGACAUCCUCAGGGUCAAGCUGUUAAGUGUCUGAGGCCAGAUGUGAACUCAUGAAAGAGUUUAGUAACUUUAGAGUAAGUACUCAAUCUAUUCUGUAAAUUAGUUGCCUUUUACUUUGCACUUAGUAAAAUAUCUACAUUUACUAAGUACUUCACACUUAGUAAAUAAUUAGAAGACAGUUAUUAUUUUAUAAAAGGAAUAACCUCAUCCUUCAUAGUUUCUGAGGAGAAAACACUUUGAUGCACUCAGAAAGUCUCAGAUCAGUGUAACAAAGUGAGGUUUUACUGGAAAUGAAACAAACUUUCUGAGGGUCGUCCCUAAAUAAGAUGAGAGGUCCUGAGUAAGAUGAGAGGGGGGGACAAGGGGAUUUGUCUACUAUACAACUCAGUGUAAGGAUAAUGAUUCAUAGCAUCUUUAGCAAAUGGAAAAGAGAUGGUUAUAUCUGGGGAAAGUUUAUAAAAUCCCAAUAAUGGCUUAGGUUGAGAACAAUUCUGUUCAAAGGAGAUUUCAGAAAAACUUGGAAAGACUUAUAUGAGUCAAUGAAGUGAAGUGAGAAGAACCCUAAGAACAUUGUACAAAGUAACAGCAACAUUAUGCAAAGAUCAUCUUUGAUAGUCUUAGCUUUCCUAAGCAAUACAGUGAUCUAAGACAACUCCAAAAGGCGGAUGAUGGAAACUGCUAUUCCCAUCUAGAGAAAGAACUAUGUAAUCUGAAAGCAGAUACAAUGAAAGAAUAUUAUUUUCACUUUUUUGUUGUUUUUUUCUUUCUUGUGAUUUUUCCUUUUUUAUUCUGAUUCUUCCUUCACAACAUGAUUAAUAUAUAAAUAUGUUUAAUAUGAUUAUACAUGCAUAAGAUCAGAUUGCUUUCUAUCUUAGAGAGAGGGUUGAGGAAGGAGGGAAGGACAAAAAAAUUGGAACUCAAAAUAUUAUAAUAAGAAAAUGUUGAAAACUAUCUUUUCAAGUAAUUGGAAAAAAUAAAAUAUUAUUAAGUGGGGGGAAAAGGAGAGGAAAGAAAUCUCUGCUCAGAGCCUAGACUCUAUUUGGGGCUAGUGAUACCUAGCUGGAUAUCAAAGUUGGUUUCUCUAUGGGGCAAUGCCCCUUUUCUUGCAGAUCUGGCACAAAGCUGGGUUGUUGAACAAACUUAGAGUCCCUAGAGAUAUAGAGCUUGUAAAAGAGCCAGUGACCUGCUCAUAAAUAUAUGACCAUUGUCAAGUUUCUUACUCUGUCUAAACUUUAACUUUCUCAUCUGAAAAUUACAGUUACUUUAAUAUUCAUUAUAUACUAAGUCAGUUAGACUUUCAGGACCAAAUGUGAUAAUGGAGACUGACCUGAUAAUAAGGUUGGCUUGAUAAUAAAGUUAAAUCAAACCAACUCAAAAAGAAAGGAGUGUCCUGAUUUUAAUUCAGAAUUACCAGCUCCAUAAUAGAUACAAAUAACACUUAAACAAUAAAACUCAAUUAUCCAAAGUAGAAGAAAUAAGAGAAGGAAGACAUGGGAUAAUAAAGAAACCAGAUAAAACAGAAUGGAGAAUCUUUUUACAUUGGCAAUAAAGUAACUCGGCUCAAUCAAGAGAGAGAAUUGUAGAUAUCAUAGAAGAGGAAGUUCCCCAAAGUUUCUAGUACAACAAGCCAGAGACAGAGACAUGACUGAGAUUGAUGUUAUCCAGAAAUGUCCAGCUCUUCUGUAAUUUCCCUGCCAAAGACACUAGAGUGGUUUUCCAUUUCCUUCUGCAAUUCAUUUUACAAAGGAGAAAAUUGAAACAAACAGGAUGAAGUAAGGUUCCCAGGGUCCCACAUCUGGUAAUCUGAAGCUGGAUUUGCACUCAGGUCAUUCUGAUUCCAGGUGCCAUGUUCAAUCCACUGCUCCAUCUAGCUGCCCUAUUAGUUCCUUCUUUGUCUUCCUUCCUAGAGUCUUUUUUUUUUCUUUCAACAAUUUCUUCAACUUUGGAAGUGGGAUUGGCCUCAUUCAUCUUUCCUGAGGAAACUAGAAGCCAGAAAUUCCUGAAAUGGCUCAAAGCUUCAAAAAAGACUCCAAGAAAAGCUGAAUUUCUCUUCUUGCAAACCUCACUCAGCCUGCUCACACAAGGUGCAAGUGAUGCAAUAGAAAUAAUUGCACAAGGACCAAGACAUUACUUUGGGGAUUUAUACAAGAAAACUUCAAACAUAACUCAUUUCACUGAAUACCUUUCGGUCAGAAAUGAAAAACUCACGGAGUCUGAAAGAGUCCAAUUACUGGAAAAAAGGAACACAUAUUGGUUGCCUCUAGUUUCUCAACUAGAAGCAAGGCUGAAGUUAACACCUUGUGAAUCUGUGGAAAGAAGUAAAUACAUUUUGGAAAUGGGAGAGAAAGAAGAACUGUUAGCACCAAGUAAAUCAAGAAGCCAGCCUAAAAUCAAAGAAGCAAUACGUUCAAUCUUCCUUCUGGCCCAAGAUCUAGCCACGUCAUGUUCAAAUUGCAUCAAAAGCAGAGCAUGUAAAUAUAGUUCUGAUGAACAAUUAGAGCUUUCUUUCUCAGAACCAGAAUUAAAAGACUCCUUUGUGUGUUCCAUGUUCUUACUUGAGUCCCAGCUUGCUGAAGAUGAUAAAAAUGAAGACGGGAGCAAUGAUGAUGAUGGUGGUGAACUCAAUUAUGAAGUCAUAUCUGACAAGGAUGAUGAACACUAUAAGGAUGCUGCUGAUAUACAAGACAAUUUUAAGUUCCAGGAUAAGUGUGCUGAUGUGACUGAUGGCUGUAAUGCUAAUCAUUAUAAUGAUGGUAGCCAGCAUGACAACACCAAAGAAAUAGUUUAUGGUUAUGACCAAGAUGAUAAGGACAUCUACUAUGAUGGUGGCAGCAAUUGUAUGGAUAGCCAUGAUGAUGAUAAUAGAAAUAUAGAUAAAGAAACCCAUAUUAGCUGCAAUAGUCUUAGGAACAGAAUUGGUGAUAAUGGUAAAGACAAAAAUGGAAAUGCUGACAGCCUUUUUGAUAAAAGGAAUAAUGAUAGAAUUAAUGAAAAAGACAAUAACUCCAGUUAUGGUGAUGAUGAUGAUGAUGAUGAUGAUGAUACAACAUGCUGGAGGGUAACAUUUACCAUUCUGAUGCUGACAAUCUGGCUAGUGAUGCUAGUGGUGAUGAUGAUAAUGAUGGUGCCAAUUGUGAGAAACCAACUGAAAAUAUAGCAAUAUCAAUGUCAGUGACAGCGAUACUGAGAGCAGUGCUAAUAGAGCUAUAAUAUCACUGCCAAUGGGGAUAUCUAUGGUUAUGACACUACCAGUAAUAACAACAAUGGCACAGACAUGAAACACAGAUCUGAAGUACACUAAUAAAAAUGGUGAAACAAUAAGAUGACAUUUGUCUGUCACUCUUUAGCUAGUCUUUAAUGACAGUCACUUUUCCCCUAGUUUUUUGGUACCACUUGCAAAAAGGCUGCUAAGAUAUUUUUUUGGUCAUAUGCAUAUACUCCUAUUUUCAAUUUCUUUGGGAGCUUUAGCUUUGUUACGGGCAUUGAUCGAACUUUAUUUGUCAAGAAACACCAGCAAGAAGAACAACCACAAAACUAUCAAAGUGAAUGUUGCAAAAUGAGAAACAACAAAGAUACUUUGAAGUAAAGAGAAGACAUUCUAUCCCACUUCUUUGCAAAGGUGGGAGGACCAUGAGUGUGGCACAUAACUUCUUUUGCCAAUUUUUCCAAAAUAAUUUUGCAUGUUUAAAAAAUUUUUCCAUUCUCCCCUCCCUAAAUUUGUUGUAUUGCAUGAUUGUAGAGGCUUGAGGAGAAAUAUUGGAAACUUUAAAAGUGGGAAAAAACCAGAGU
rnacentral:lncRNA from 1 species